rnacentral:misc_RNA from 1 species
UCCUGGUUUCCCAGGCAGUCCCAUCAGAGUGCCUCAUCCGAAGAUGAGUUGCAACUGACAGUAGGGGUUGCGCUCGUUAAAGGACUUAACCCAACAUCUCACGACACGAGCUGACGACAGCCAUGCAGCACCUGUGCAUCUGUCUAAACCGAAAUCUAGAAAACUGUAUCUCUACAGCGAUCAAAUACAUGUCAAGUCCAGGUAAGGUUCCUCGCGUAUUGUCGAAUUAAACCACAUGUUCCACCGCUUGUGCGGACCCCCGUCAAUUCCUUUAAGUUUUAGUCUUGCGACCGUACUCCCCAGGCGAAUCACUUAACGCGUUAGCUUCGACACCAACUGAGCUACGCUCAGCUGACGUCCAGUGAUUAUCGUUUACAGCGUGGACUAC